rnacentral:rRNA from 1 species
UACGUAGGGUGCGAGCGUUGUCCGGAAUUAUUGGGCGUAAAGGGCUCGUAGGCGGUUUGUCGCGUCGGGAGUGAAAACUCAGGGCUUAACCCUGAGCCUGCUUCCGAUACGGGCAGACUAGAGGUAUGCAGGGGGAGAACGGAAUUCCUGGUGUAGCGGUGAAAAUGCGCAGAUAUCAGGAGGAACACCGGUGGCGAAGGCGGUUCUCUGGGCAUUACCUGACGCUGAGGAGCGAAAGUGUGGGGAGCGAACAGG